rnacentral:miRNA from 14 species
CCUGGAAAUAUUGAGGUUGAGU